rnacentral:lncRNA from 7 species
GAGUGCUUCAGUCUGCUAUCUAUAGACAGAAACUCUGGGAUGUGCCUUCCUAGCUCUGUCCAGCUGCCAUUGAGGAGAGGAUGCAGCUUUGCAGAAACUGAGCACUGUAGGAUAAAUACAUGGACAAACAAAGCUAACAUGGGAAGCUGAAUCAUUUUAGACUUUUAUUCAUCUCAGGUCUGCAUCAGCUCAUUUCCAGCACUACCAAAUAUCUCUAAGUUUGCAACACCUAAAAUACUGUGAGGUAAAUGAGCAGAAGAAAAUUGCAUUUGUUGAUAUCACCAAAGGUUUUAAUCACCAUGCAGAUAAAAUCCUCUGAUUUGAACCCCAUUCCACAAAAUCAUCUGUCUGACAGAGGAGUCAGGCCAUUGUGAGUAGUGAAAAUUUCAGGCAGAAGAAUGAAAACUUUUCCUUGGAUUUUUUUUUCUUUUUCUUUUCUUUUCUUUUCUUUUCUUUUCUUUUCUUUUCUUUUCUUUUCUUUUCUUUUCUUUUCUUUUCUUUUCUUUUCUUUUCUUUUCUUUUCUUUUCUUUUCUUUUCUUUUCUUUUCUUCUCUUCUUUUCUCUUCUUUUCUUUUCUCUUCUUUCCUUUCCUCUCUUCUCUCUUCUCUGCU